rnacentral:rRNA from 1 species
UAACUCUCUCCCACGGUCGGUGGACUGGNGUCUGGCGUCCAGCCGGUCUGCUGAAAAGCAGAGGCUCGAACAUGGACCCGCAAUGGGCACAACUUGGUAGGCAUAUCGCCUCUGGCGGUGCAUCUGAGUUGGUGCUUGGGACUGUGUUGGAGGCUUAACGCAGGAUUUGGUUGGCAACAACCGAAACUCCAAUUUCGACCUGAGCCCAGGCAAGAUUACCCGCUGAACUUAAGCAUAUCAAUAAGCGGAGGAAAAGAAACUAACAAGGAUUCCCUUAGUAGCGGCGAGUGAAACGGGAACAGCCCAACUUGAAAAUCUCCUUUGGAGAAUUGUAGUCUAUAGAAGUGCCCUCUGUUAGCGGCCAUGGUCCUAAGUUNCCUGGAAAAGGGACGUCAGAAGAGGGUGAGAACCCCGUUCGGAACCUCGCUUAGCUACCUCACGAGGUGCUUUCCACGAGUCGGGUUGCUUGGGAAUGCAGCCCUAAGCGGGUGGUAAAUCCCAUCUAAGGCUAAAUACUGGCGAGAGACCGAUAGCGAACAAGUACCGCGAGGGAAAGAUGAAAAGAAGCUUUGAAAAGAGAGUUAAA